rnacentral:pre_miRNA from 1 species
GUUGCUUUUUCCUCUCCCUCAAAGGCUUCCAACAUGAUGUGCGUAAGCCACAACGUUAGAAGCCUUUGUGGGAGAGGAAGAAACA